rnacentral:rRNA from 1 species
CCUGGCUCAGAACGAACGCUGGCGGCGCGUUUUAACAUGCAAGUCGUACGAGAACCCCGGUGCUUGCAUUGGGGGGAGAGUGGCGAACGGGUGAGUAACACGUGGAUUAUCUGCCUUCAGGUCUGGGAUAACCCCGGGAAACCGGGGCUAAUACCGGAUAAUAUGGCAACAUUAAAGGUGGGGACCUUCGGGCCUAUCGCCUGAAGAUGAGUCCGCGUCCCAUUAGCUUGUUGGUGGGGUAAUGGCCUACCAAGGCGACGAUGGGUAGCCGGCCUGAGAGGGUGUACGGCCACAUUGGGACUGAGAUACGGCCCAGACUCCUACGGGAGGCAGCAGUUAAGAAUCUUGCGCAAUGGGCGAAAGCCUGACGCAGCGACGCCGCGUGGACGAUGAAGGCCUUCGGGUUGUAAAGUCCGGUAAGCAGGGAAGACUAAGUGUAAAGUAAUAUCUUGCACGAUGACGGUACCUGCCUAAAGCCCCGGCUAACUACGUGCCAGCAGCCGCGGUAAUACGUAUGGCGCAAGCGUUGUUCGGAAUUAUCGGGCAUACAGGGCGUCUACGCCGGGCACUAAGUCAGGUGUGAAAGCCAUGG